CUUGGUCAUUUAGAGGAAGUAAAAGUCGUAACAAGGUCUCCGUAGGUGAACCUGCGGAGGGAUCAUUACACAAAUAUGAAGGCGGGCUGGAACCUCUCGGGGUUACAGCCUUGCUGAAUUAUUCACCCUUGUCUUUUGCGUACUUCUUGUUUCCUUGGUGGGUUCGCCCACCACUAGGACAAACAUAAACCUUUUGUAAUUGCAAUCAGCGUCAGUAACAAAUUAAUAAUUACAACUUUCAACAACGGAUCUCUUGGUUCUGGCAUCGAUGAAGAACGCAGCGAAAUGCGAUAAGUAGUGUGAAUUGCAGAAUUCAGUGAAUCAUCGAAUCUUUGAACGCACAUUGCGCCCUUUGGUAUUCCAAAGGGCAUGCCUGUUCGAGCGUCAUUUGUACCCUCAAGCUUUGCUUGGUGUUGGGCGUCUUGUCUCUAGCUUUGCUGGAGACUCGCCUUAAAGUAAUUGGCAGCCGGCCUACUGGUUUCGGAGCGCAGCACAAGUCGCACUCUCUAUCAGCAAAGGUCUAGCAUCCAUUAAGCCUUUUUUUCAACUUUUGACCUCGGAUCAGGUAGGGAUACCCGCUGAACUUAAGCAAUAUCAAUAAGCGGAGGA
rnacentral:rRNA from 1 species